AGCAUAUCAAUAAGCGGAGGAAAAGAAACCAACAGGGAUUGCCCCAGUAACGGCGAGUGAAGCGGCAACAGCUCAAAUUUGAAAUCUGGCCCCAGGCCCGAGUUGUAAUUUGCAGAGGAUGCUUUUGGCGCGGUGCCUUCCGAGUUCCCUGGAACGGGACGCCAUAGAGGGUGAGAGCCCCGUACGGUUGGACACCAAGUCUUUGUAAAGCUCCUUCGACGAGUCGAGUAGUUUGGGAAUGCUGCUCAAAAUGGGAGGUAUAUUUCUUCUAAAGCUAAAUAUUGGCCAGAGACCGAUAGCGCACAAGUAGAGUGAUCGAAAGAUGAAAAGCACUUUGAAAAGAGGGUUAAACAGCACGUGAAAUUGUUAAAAGGGAAGCGCUUAUGACCAGACUUGCGCCCGGUGAAUCACCCAGCUCUCGCGGCUGGGGCACUUUGCCGGCUCAGGCCAGCAUCAGCUCGCUGUCGGGGACAAAAGCUUCGGGAACGUAGCUCUCUUCGGGGAGUGUUAUAGCCCGUUGCACAAUACCCUUCGGCGGGCUGAGGUACGCGCUCCGCAAGGAUGCUGGCGUAAUGGUCAUCAGCGACCCGUCUUGAAACACGGACCAAGGAGUCAACCUUAUGUGCGAGUGUUUGGGUGUCAAACCCCUACGCGUAAUGAAAGUGAACGCAGGUGAGAGCUUCGGCGCAUCAUCGACCGAUCCUGAUGUUCUCGGAUGGAUUUGAGUAAGAGCAUAUAGGGUUGGACCCGAAAGAAGGUGAACUAUGCGUGUAUAGGGUGAAGCCAGAGGAAACUCUGGUGGAGGCUCGCAGCGGUUCUGACGUGCAAAUCGAUCGUCAAAUAUGCGCAUGGGGGGCGAAAGACUAAUCGAACCUUCUAGUAGCUGGUUUCCCC
rnacentral:rRNA from 1 species